rnacentral:lncRNA from 1 species
UUCAGCAAAAAAAUGCAGGUGCAGUUAGCUCUUUUCCUGUUAGGCAAUCAUUUUGAUGGCAAAGGUAUUCUCUUCAAUUCCUCUGAAAUUUAUGUUAAUUUUUAGAUGAUACUGCAUUUCUUUUAGAAAAGUAUAGAAUGAGCCCCACGGCACAGUGCAUUUGCUCUGGCCAUGCUUCUCAUGUUGUUGGAUAUAUGAUUUCAUAAACUCAUAGGUUGAUAGUUUUUGUCAAGCUUGUGUCAGUCAUUGUCAAAAUUCAGGAGCAAAAACCAAAAUUUAAAAAGCUUAGGCUUUUGCCCUUAUACCAUGUAAUGUGGUCCAGGUAUAUUUUGCUUUUUAGUUUCAUAUGUUGUUUGAUUCUCACUUUUAUAUCCAUCAGAAAUUUAUUUAGCUUUUGGGUGGCAUAUGAUGUUUGUUACUGCAUGCAAAUAAUGUGUCUCAUUUGCAUACACUUGAAGUUUAUGUUCAUUAUUGUCAUUGUAAUAUGUUCUGCAUUUGUGAAGAUUAAUUCUCAGUUAUUUUCCCUAUUGAUUGGUUGUUUUUUAUGUUAUAGUCAUGUCGAGGAGCUCCUUAGUUUGUGACCAUCUGAAUGUGUUUAUCUACAUUGAAGUCAAUUUUUAAUUCAUGGCUUUAAACUAUGACAAUAAGGAAAAUGAUUUUUUUCCUAUUUAUGUAACAUACAUAUAUACAAACUGAUGCAUAUGUUCAUAUACGAAGGUGUUAAUUGCUAGCAAUAUGUUAUGCAUUGGCAAGGAUUUCUAUUGAUGGAUCUUCACAGGCUGUAUUUUGUUGAAUUGUUAGCAAAAACAGUCUGUUUUGGAGGCACCAUAGUGGAUCUGGUUGCAGGAGUUGAAAGUAAAAAGGGAAUCAAGAAUGAUGCUUAGGUUUUUGUUUUUAAAUGAAAUAGUUUUGCUAGUUUCAAAGAUUACCCUUGAUACAUGAAUUUCUGAAAUAUAAAUAGUAUAGAUUUAAUAAACUAAGAAAGAGAUGUUUGUUUAAGAUGUGGAUUAGAAGUGUCAGGGAAAUAAUUAGAGAAUGGAGUGUAAUAGCCUAAGUAGAUGUUUUUGCUAUUUACCUGUCUACAAAACUAAUAUAGCCCUUAAAUCAGAAGUUUGAACGGCUUCAGCACAAAAAAAAAAUGUUUGACUCGAGUAGCUCUUUUUUUUAUUAUUAUUAUGUCAAAGCAGAAGUGGAUAUAUGGAGCAAAGUAUCUAGUUGUGCGCUACUGUUAGUUAUCAGAGAUGUGGAAGUAAAUCUCAAUAAUGUACUUACCAUGAUCUUGUUAGUGAAUGGCUAUAUAUUUACGAGGAUGAUUUACAGUUGCUUGUCGUUCAGGGAUUACCAGGAAGUAAUUGAGAAGCUAAUGCAGACAAAGAUGAUUGGGAAUCACCAGGAAAAUAUUUGGGCUUUGAGAAUGGUAAGGCCUUUCGCUUGAUUGUUCACUGAUCAGGCAGGCAGUAUGCUUUCAAAAAAUAUUUGUAGGAAUUAUUCUUUGUAGAAUACAUUGUGAUAAAAGGGUCCAACUUCUACACCAGCAUGUAUGUUAAGCUAUGCUUAUGGAAAUGUUUUGUAUGAAAUGACCACUAUAUCACAGCACCCAAUCUUAAUCCCUGCAGACAAAAGCCUAGUUUAUAGGCUAGCUUGAAGCUUUUUCUUCUAUUGUUUUUGGGUGUAGUAGGUUUAUAUAUGUGACUGUGUAUAUUAAGUAGUGACAUUAUUUCCGGUAGUGAUAUAUAUGCGCAUGAAAUACUCCCUUCCCAAUAGAUUGUAUCUUGAACAUUAUUUCCGGUGCAUGCCAAAUUUUCCUUUGUUUGUUAGAUUUGUAGUUUUGGUAGUAAAUAGAUUCAUCAUCUCCAUUGUCAUUUUUUUUCUUCUUUCCAUACAUGCCCAUUAAAUAGCUUGCAAAUGUAAAAAAUUGACAGUACUGAAUGCUAUGCAUUUUUCUACAGGUGGUUUUUGUGAACGUGAACUUAGAGAGGGACGAGGAUGUAUCGUAGCAGCGGAGAUGCCACGGUGCUGUGCGGUGUCUUGCACAGCGUAAGGCGUGGUCUUCCAAGUGCCCGUCAUGUGCCCACAGGACCCGAUUCCUCUGCAACUUAAAAACCAGCUGCUGUGACUUUUUUUUCUUUGCAAAGAGUCGUACCUUACGUGUCUGAAGGCGCCGUCUGUAAGGCUGGUGCCAGAAGCAAACCAGAAGUCAUUUGCUCCGUAACUACUAAGGAGAUGACAACUUGUCGUAGCAGCGGAGAUGCCUAGUUGUUCUGCCGAGUGUCUUACAUGACAUAAAGGUGUCUUAUGUCAUCUGUGAAAACUGAUGGUGUUAUAUAACUUUUUUGAAAUUUCCGUCUGAUGUUUUGUCGGCCAUGAAGAGGCAAGGACAUGAAUUUGUCGAAGCUAUAUUGCAGCUGGGGAUGACAUGUCGUAAAGGGGAUUAUUCCCUUCAGGAAAUUGAGAGGCUAAUACAAUGGAAGUUACGAUGGAAACAUGAUCGCUGUACAGCUACCAAGUGUUACUUGGUUGAAUAGAUAACCAAGUAGGGCUCGGAACA